rnacentral:rRNA from 1 species
GUGAGGGAAAGGCGAAAAGAACCCCGGGAGGGGAGUGAAAUAGAACCUGAAACCGGAUGCAUACAAACAGUGGGAGCGGACUUGUUCCGUGACUGCGUACCUUUUGUAUAAUGGGUCAGCGACUUACGUUCAGUAGCAAGCUUAACCGAAUAGGGGAGGCGUAGGGAAACCGAGUCCGAAUAGGGCGCUUUAGUUGCUGGGCGUAGACCCGAAACCGAGUGAUCUAUCCAUGGCCAGGAUGAAGGUGCGGUAACACGCACUGGAGGUCCGAACCCACUAGUGUUGCAAAACUAGGGGAUGAGCUGUGGAUAGGGGUGAAAGGCUAAACAAACUCGGAGAUAGCUGGUUCUCCCCGAAAACUAUUUAGGUAGUGCCUCAUGUAUCACUUCCGGGGGUAAAGCACUGUUAUGGCUAGGGGGUCAUUGCGAUUUACCAAACCAUGGCAAACUCUGAAUACCGGAAAGUGCGAGCAUGGGAGACAGACGGUGGGUGCUAA